GACGAACGCUGGCGGCGUGCUUAACACAUGCAAGUCGAACGGUAAGGCCCUUCGGGGUACACGAGUGGCGAACGGGUGAGUAACACGUGGGUGAUCUGCCCUGCACUUCGGGAUAAGCCUGGGAAACUGGGUCUAAUACCGGAUAGGACCACUGCCUGCAUGGGUGGUGGUGGAAAGCUUUUGCGGUGUGGGAUGGGCCCGCGGCCUAUCAGCUUGUUGGUGGGGUGGUGGCCUACCAAGGCGACGACGUGUAGCCGGCCUGAGAGGGUGACCGGCCCCACUGGGACUGAGAUACGGCCCAGACUCCUACGGUAGGCAGCGGUGGGGAAUAUUGCACAAUGGGGGCAAGCCUGAUGCAGCGACGCCGCGUGGGGGAUGACGGCCUUCGGGUUGUAAACCUCUUUCAGCACCGACGAAGCGCAAGUGACGGUAGGUGCAGAAGAAGGACCGGCCAACUACGUGCCAGCCGCCGCGGUAA
rnacentral:rRNA from 1 species